GGAAAAGUCGCCAUUGGUAAGGCAAGAUAUUUGCUAAAUAUUGUGUUAUUACACCUGAAGGUUCGAACCCUUCCUUUUCCG
rfam:Macrophomina phaseolina MS6 contig00755, whole genome shotgun sequence.